GAUGAACGCUGGCGGCGUGCCUAAUACAUGCAAGUAGAACGCUGAAGGAGGAGCUUGCUCUUCUGGAUGAGUUGCGAACGGGUGAGUAACGCGUAGGUAACCUGCCUGGUAGCGGGGGAUAACUAUUGGAAACGAUAGCUAAUACCGCAUGACAACAGUUAUUGCAUGAUAACUGUUUAAAAGGGGCAACUGCUCCACUACCAGAUGGACCUGCGUUGUAUUAGCUAGUUGGUGAGGUAACGGCUCACCAAGGCGACGAUACAUAGCCGACCUGAGAGGGUGAUCGGCCACACUGGGACUGAGACACGGCCCAGACUCCUACGGGAGGCAGCAGUAGGGAAUCUUCGGCAAUGGACGGAAGGCUGACCGAGCAACGCCGCGUGAGUGAAGAAGGUUUUCGGAUCGUAAAGCUCGGUUGUAAGAGAAGAACGAGUGUGAGAGUGGAAAGUUCACACUGUGACGGUAUCUUACGAGAAAGGGACGGCUAACUACGUG
rnacentral:rRNA from 1 species